rnacentral:rRNA from 1 species
UACGUAGGGUGCAAGCGUUGUCCGGAAUUAUUGGGCGUAAAGAGCUCGUAGGCGGUUUGUCGCGUCUGCUGUGAAAACCCGAGGCUCAACCUCGGGCCUGCAGUGGGUACGGGCAGACUAGAGUGUGGUAGGGGAGACUGGAAUUCCUGGUGUAGCGGUGGAAUGCGCAGAUAUCAGGAGGAACACCGAUGGCGAAGGCAGGUCUCUGGGCCACUACUGACGCUGGAGAAAGCGAAAAGCAUGGGGAGCGAACAGG